rnacentral:lncRNA from 1 species
AUGACUGAGUGCUGGCUGAUGGGAGGCGAGCGGAAGUUAAUGGCAUACUUUUUGACUUGUGCCCUUGAAAGGGAAGCCCUGCCCUAUCCUUGCCCUCGGCUGGGAUGCAGGAUCCUGGGCGCUGUCUCUUACGGAGAGCUGGAAGCUGGAUUAGAGCCGGCGGAGCGGCAGCCCCUGUACCCCAGGCUUAGGUCUUGUCUGAAGCCAGUGGAGGGAGCAGGGAGCAGAGUGCUAUUCGAGGAACGUUUUGGAGCCAGCGUUGUACAGAUGCCAGAGAAGAGACGUCUAAGAUCCUUCACUGCUGUGUAGGUGGUGAGGAGGUGGUAAAAACUCAGCCUCACCUUCAGUGUAACUGGCGUGUGGAAUGGACGUGACUGAGAUGUGUGAGUGGCGGUUAUAAACUGUAUUUAUUUAUUCACAUGAGAGAGAGAGAGAGCGAGAGAGAGAGCGAGAGUGAGAGAGAGAGCGCACUCCCAUCCGUUCAUUCACUCCCCAAUGUCUGCAGUGGCUGGAGCCGGGAACUCAAUGCAGGAGUCCCAUGUGGGUGGCAGGAACCCAAGCACUGGAGCCAUCAGUGCUGCCUCCCAGGGUCUGCACGAGCAGGGAGCUGGGGUCAGGAGCUGGAGCUGACGAGUGAUAUGGGACAUAGGCAUCUUACCUGACAUCAACUGCUAAGCUAAAUGUCUAUCCUGGUGACUUUAUUUUGUCUCCCAUUAUGUGGGAAAAUUGAUUCCAUGGGCUGGCAGAAUGGGGAGACUUCUUCCCUUCUCCCAAAGUAAAACCCCACGUGAGGGGCAGGUGCUGUGGCUUAGUGGGUAAAGACGCCGCCUGCAGCGCUGGCGUCCCAUAUGGGUACUGGUUCUAGUCCCAGCUGUUCCUCUUCCGAUCCAGCUCUCUGCUGUGGCCUGGGAAAGCAGUAGAAGAUGGCCCAAGUCCUUGGGCCCCUGCACCCACGUGGGAGACCUGGAAGAAGCUCCUGGUUCCUGGCUUUGGAUCGGCGCAGCUCCAGCCAUUGCAGCAAAUUGGGGAGUGAACCAGCAGAUGGAAGACCUCUCUCUCUCUCUCUCUCUCUCUCUCUCUCCCUCCCUCCCUCCCUCCCUCUCCCUGCCUCUCCUUCUCUCUGUGUAACUCUGACUUUCAAGUAAAUAAAUAAAUCUUUAAAAAAAAACA